UACGGAGGAUCCAAGCGUUAUCCGGAUUAUUGGGUUUAAAGGGUGCGUAGGCGGCCUGUUAAGUCAGGGGUGAAAGACGGUAGCUCAACUAUCGCAGUGCCCUUGAUACUGAUGGGCUUGAAUGGACUAGAGGUAGGCGGAAUGAGACAAGUAGCGGUGAAAUGCAUAGAUAUGUCUCAGAACACCGAUUGCGAAGGCAGCUUACUAUGGUCUUAUUGACGCUGAGGCACGAAAGCGUGGGGAUCAAACAGG
rnacentral:rRNA from 1 species